rnacentral:rRNA from 1 species
GUCAGCGGCUACAUCACCCUCCAACUCACAGCUGACAACCCAUCAAAGGUAAGCAGGUGUGAGCCUGGUCAGUACCUGGAUGGAGACCUCAUGGGAAAACUGAGGUUGUUGCUGGAA